GCAAAAACAUUGUCGCGUGGUGCUAACACGCCUCGUAGGUCGAUUGUCUGUCCCUUAUUUGGCUUUGCGCUGACUCAUACAUCACGUGACGUCCAAUCCUUGAUUGUCAUUGGACAAUACGAAAGUAAGCUGUCGUUAUAUUUCAUAAAAGGGUCUUGCGUCGUAAGAGCGUUGGAUAUUGAAGCUUUAAUUGGAGUUACUCUUUUAGCUUUUACAGUCUUUCAGAUCAGAUAUGGGGAAACCUAAGAACUCCAAAGGAACUGCAUCGCAUAAACCGGCCAAGACACGAAAGCUGGUCAGUACUACUAAGCCUAAAAGACCAAAACCUGCUGCUGCGAAACAACGCAAAAAGCCAGCAGCAAAAAUAAAGGAAACAAUCAGGAGGACUGUAACAACGACUCGUACGCUCGAGCAAAAAUAAGACAUAGCAUAGCAUAAAGGAACAUGUUUAUUUUGUAAUCUUUUUCAGACUAGAAAUGUCACAACAAUGAGCAAAUUAAAAUUGCAUCAAGUGAAGUGACUAAGAAAA